GACGAACGCUGGCGGCGUGCCUAAUACAUGCAAGUCGAGCGAAGUUUUUCUGUUGCUUGCACUAGAAAAACUUAGCGGCGAACGGGUGAGUAACACGUAAAGAACCUGCCUCAUAGACUGGGACAACUAUUGGAAACGAUAGCUAAUACCGGAUAACAGCAUUACCUGCAUGGUUGAUGUUUAAAAGUUGUUUUUGCUAACACUAUGAGAUGGCUUUGCGGUGCAUUAGCUAGUUGGUGGGGUAAAGGCCUACCAAGGCGACGAUGCAUAGCCGACCUGAGAGGGUGAUCGGCCACACUGGGACUGAGACACGGCCCAGACUCCUACGGGAGGCAGCAGUAGGGAAUCUUCCGCAAUGGGCGAAAGCCUGACGGAGCAACGCCGCGUGAGUGAAGAAGGAUUUCGGUUCGUAAAGCUCUGUUGUUAGGGAAGAAUGAUUGUGUAGUAACUAUACACAGUAGAGACGGUACCUAACCAGAAAGCCACGGCUAACUACGUG
rnacentral:rRNA from 1 species